rnacentral:rRNA from 1 species
ACAUCCAGAGAACUUAGCAGAGAUGCUUUGGUGCCUUCGGGAACUCUGAGACAGGUGCUGCAUGGCUGUCGUCAGCUCGUGUUGUGAAAUGUUGGGUUAAGUCCCGNAACGAGCGCAACCCUUAUCCUUUGUUGCCAGCGAUUCGGUCGGGAACUCAAAGGAGACUGCCGGUGAUAAACCGGAGGAAGGUGGGGAUGACGUCAAGUCAUCAUGGCCCUUACGGCCAGGGCUACACACGUGCUACAAUGGCGCAUACAAAGAGAAGCGACCUCGCGAGAGCAAGCGGACCUCAUAAAGUGCGUCGUAGUCCGGAUUGGAGUCUGCAACUCGACUCCAUGAAGUCGGAAUCGCUAGUAAUCGUAGAUCAGAAUGCUACGGUGAAUACGUUCCCGGGCCUUGUACACACCGCCCGUCACACCAUGGGAGUGGGUUGCAAAAGAAGUAGGUAGCUUAACCUUCGGGAGGGCGCUUACCACUUUGUGGUUCAUGACUGGGGUGAAGUCGUAACAAGGUAAGCGUAGUGCU